UACAGAGGGUGCAAGCGUUGUUCGGAAUUAUUGGGCUAAAGCGCGUGUAGGCGGCUUUGCAAGUCGGGUGUGAAAGCCCUCAGCUCAACUGAGGAAGUGCGCCCGAAACUGCAGAGCUUGAGUACCGGAGAGGAUGGCGGAAUUCCCCAAGUAGAGGUGAAAUUCGUAGAUAUGGGGAGGAACACCGGUGGCGAAGGCGGCCAUCUGGACGGAUACUGACGCUGAGACGCGAAAGCGUGGGUAGCAAACAGG
rnacentral:rRNA from 1 species